GUGGGGAAUCUUAGACAAUGGGGGAAACCCUGAUCUAGCCAUGCCGCGUGAGCGAUGAAGGCCUUAGGGUUGUAAAGCUCUUUCAGCUGGGAAGAUAAUGACGGUACCAGCAGAAGAAGCCCCGGCUAACUCCGUGCCAGCAGCCGCGGUAAUACGGAGGGGGCUAGCGUUGUUCGGAAUUACUGGGCGUAAAGCGCGCGUAGGCGGACCAGAAAGUUGGAGGUGAAAUCCCAGGGCUCAACCUUGGAACUGCCUUCAAAACUCCUGGUCUGGAGUUCGGGAGAGGUGAGUGGAAUUCCGAGUGUAGAGGUGAAAUUCGUAGAUAUUCGGAGGAACACCAGUGGCGAAGGCGGCUCACUGGCUCGAUACUGACGCUGAGGUGCGAAAGCGUGGGGAGCAAACAGGAUUAGAUACCCUUGUAGUCC
rnacentral:rRNA from 1 species